rnacentral:rRNA from 1 species
CACAGAGGUGCCAAGCGUUAGGCGGAAUCACUGGGCUUAAAGCGCGUGUAGGCGGGUCGUUAAGUGUCCGAGUGAAACCCCACGGCUCAACCGUGGAACUGCCGGGCAUACUGGCGAUCUUGAGGCAUUCAGGGGCGAGCGGAACAAAUGGUGGAGCGGUGAAAUGCGUAGAUAUCGCCUGGAACGCCGACGGUGAAAACAGCUCGCUGGGGGUGUGCUGACGCUGAGACACGAAAGCCAGGGGAGCGAACGGG